CUGGGGCUGUAGUCGGUCCCAAGGGUUGGGCUGUUCGCCCAUUAAAGCGGUACGCGAGCUGGGUUCAGAACGUCGUGAGACAGUUCGGUCCCUAUCCGUCGUGGGCGUAGGAAAUUUGAGAGGAGCUGUCCUUAGUACGAGAGGACCGGGAUGGACAUACCUCUGGUGUACCAGUUGUCGUGCCAACGGCAUAGCUGGGUAGCUAUGUGUGGACGGGAUAAGUGCUGAAAGCAUCUAAGCAUGAAGCCUCCCUCAAGAUGAGAUUUCCCAACUUCGGUUAUAAGAUCCCUCAAAGAUGAUGAGGUUAAUAGGUUCGAGGUGGAAGCAUGGUGACAUGUGGAGCUGACGAAUACUAAUCGAUCGAAGACUUAAUCAAAA
rnacentral:rRNA from 1 species